GGCAGCGUAGAGCGUCAGUUAAUCCGGCUCUUACAAAGCAGAUGUCGGCGGUUCGAAACCGUCCGCGCCCACCA
rnacentral:tRNA from 1 species